rnacentral:miRNA from 1 species
UGUAGAAAAAACAAAGGGCAA